rfam:Nicotiana sylvestris Nsyl_contig39777, whole genome shotgun sequence.
CGGACAGAUUAUUGUAUUCGACCGUAUUCGACUGUAUUCACGGCGUGAAACAGGGGAUUACACUGUUUUUAAAUGGAAAGUGAAUCAAUUAACAUAAUAGACUCCU